AGUUAUAACAGUUUUGCCAAUGAAGGUGAAUUGCCCUUUAAGCUUGUCUGGGAAGAUGAUGGAAUGUCUUCCUGUGUGAAGUCAGUAGCCCCUUCUUGCUAAGAGAGAAAUGCAGCAGAAAGACAGUAAACACAGAACAAAUAAAGAAUUACAGAGAGAAUGUGUGAGGAAAGUAUUCUGUGAGGCUUGAUGUGCACUUGCGUCACACAGCGUCCCAUAAAUGAAUGUUAAGUAGAUUGGAUGUUAACUGUUGCUAAAAUGUCUGAUAUUGGGCGUUGGCUAGAAGAAAAGGCUCACUCUGUUGUUGAAGUUAAAGGAAAUGUUGGAAAUAUGGUUCAGUGCCUUCAUUUUAUGCCCGAGCACCAGAAGGGGUCAACUUAAUUGGGACAUCUCUGUAAAUGUUAAUGGCAUCAAGAUUGAUAAAACUAAGCCUUUAUGGCACAACUACUUUCUGUGCAGACUGAAAGGAAUUCAGAUUUACUAAAGGACGAAGUGGCUAAAGCUAGCGUCGAUUCGCUAGCAUUACCGCCCACCGAGACAUCAGCUAACUAACGAGCGCAGAGGACAAUUCGCUAGCGAAAGAGACAGGCGAUAUAAGUCAUUUGCACUCUAUCGCCAGGCGACAAUUUGCUCUGGCGAAUGGACAUUACUCCACAAAUUCACUAAAAUGUGAAUUUUACUGAACGUUGCCUCUUUUCCCCAGACUUGUCUUUGCCAGCUCAGAUUGGGUGAAGUGCAAUGGAGUGCAUAGAUCUUCCUCAAUCUUCUGUUACAUCAUAUUCUAUGGAAAAUGCAUCAAAGUUCAAAAAAAAUGCUGACGUCUUUUCCUUAUUUC